rnacentral:sRNA from 1 species
GCGAUCGCGGUGGCGUGCGCCACGUGGCGUC